GGAAUUCCCAGAUCCAACCUUAACCAAGUUCUGAUAAAAUAUAAAUGAAGCCCAGAUGGAAGGUCAGCGGGGAAGCAGAAGAAAAUCUGCCCCCAGAGCGUUGGUGAGAGGAGCACAUGUGAUUGGAGAGGCCGGCGUGUGUGGAGCGUUCUGCACGCCCUUCACCUCGCCCCAUGGCGCUGGCUGCCAUGUCCCUCUGCUUGGCUGUGCCACCCUCUAGGGGAUCUAUUCCUUCCCUUUCCCCCAGGCAUCCAUCACCUUUGCCAGCUCCAGGCUGCGGCACCAUGGUUUUCCCUCCACUAACCUCAGUAUCCCUUCUUUCUCAUGCACAGUUUUGUCACCACAUCCAUCUCCCUACCAAACAAACAAGGAUGUCCAGUUACCUAGAGCAGCACUUUCAUAAGCAGCAG
rnacentral:lncRNA from 1 species